AAGUCAAUAAUUCAAUGGUAGAAUAGUCCACUCAUAAUGGAUUUGUUGUAGGUUCAAUCCCUACUUGGCUUA
rnacentral:tRNA from 1 species